UGUAUGAAAGUUCUAAUCAGUCAUACUUCAUUGAGUAAAGUUGUAAUUGUAUCUACCUGUCCAACUCAUUAGUAAAUUAAUUGUCACACCUUGUUCACCUUUAUGGUCAGUUCUUAUUGGUCAUUCUGGACACACCUCAGAUUUUGGAAAAGAAGUAAUGGUGGUUAAUUCUUGAAAAUUGGAGACAUACAUAUUUAAUAUUUACUUCUUAUUUAAACCGUAUAUAGUGAUGAAACUUAUAUAGAGACAUUCUAUUUGGUGCUCGUUAUUACUCACUGAAUUUCCAUACUUUGGAAUCACUGUAGUAUUGGAAAUUACAUUCUUUAUAUCUGGACACAUAGAUUAUGAUGUUCCUGUAACAUACUGGUUGUACUGUAGAUGUUAGAUAUAUAACCUAGUUCCACAGAUUGGCUGUCGUGUACUACGCAGCGGUGUUGCCGUUAUCAUGAUGACAUCGGGACUCAAAUUUAAUUUUGUUUUAAUAAAAUUAUCACAGUAAGCUGCACAUGCUG